UGUCGCUGGGAUCCUCUCUGGUAAACUUGAUGUUGUUGUCCACUGAGUCCACAGAGUUGAUGUGUCUUGUGAAAGCUUCCACUUGAGCAAGAAAAUAAUUAUUAGGCAAUGAUGUAAAGCCUGGAACUCAACACUACUCCAGACAUUUGAUUUGAGAAAGCUUUCUGGAUGGGAAGUGAAACGUCUUCAAACUUUGGAAAAAAAUUCCAGUUGUUUUUUUUAUUUGGGGGGGAUUAUAUUCAGCACCAAUGUUCCUCCUAAUUCUUCAUGUCUCUGAGUAAACACACAAACUCCCUGAGUAUUCACCUGACCUCUGUGAGCAACAUCACAUGUGCACACUGAGGCUACAUUACACCUGUCCAACACCUGAGAUUAUAACAAGUUACAUGGUUUACUAAAAGAAUCAAAAUACAGCAAUAAUCUCUUUUAGAUUACCUAGUUUAGAAACAAUUAAUUUAGCCCGAUCACAUAAAAAAGACAACAGUAGACUCUCACUAUUGGACUGUAAUGUAGCCAUGGGGAAUGGUGAAAGCAUUUCUGCUGGAAUGUCAGUCCUUUUUGUGAUACUUUGUGUUUCUAUACACUGAGGAUGUGGUUGGUAUGGCUUUGUCCAGUGAAGAAGAUCUGAACUAAAGCAUGCUGGAUCCCUUCCCUUCCAUUGCUGGCAGUAAGGUCAUCAUGGUCUGCUCCAUCCUCCUUCCCUGUGUCGGAUCUAUGAACAAGGAAACAUUUGUGACUCCAUGUCCCAGCAGGCUUUGCACCUGCCUUUCUGUUCUGUGUACAGGCUCCAGCAGUCUUAGCUCCUCCCACGCAGUAUAAAGAGAGUGGAGCUCAAACCAUGCUCUUCUUUAGCCGCUGAUUUCUGAGAGCACAUUCUGACUGCUUUUGAGACACUUACUGGCAAAUCCUCCUCCCCACCUCACUGGAAGCCAUCAAUGCACGGUCUUGCAGUCUUUGGCUCUAUAAUUACUGCCAACACAACAUGGAUACCAGAUUGAAUGCUCCUGUAAGAAUGCUAACCUCUGAUCAAGAUUUCUUUCUCUGGACCCAGGACAUUGUGACAGGGCACGCUUUGAAGGUUGUGCUGGAAACAAAGAAAGACAAUCUUUCUAUUUCAAUCAGGUCUAACUGUGGCAGGAUCCAAACAGCCUGAAAGCUUCCCAUACCUCCACCCUCACCAGACUUCAGCUCCUUGGCCUCCUGGAUUUGAGCAACAAGACUUUGGAGCCUUUGUGACGCAGCCGUUCUCCGCUCCUCCAAAACACUCCUUUGUUCUCUUGAAGAAGUCUGCCUACUUGUUGCGGGGCUUCUACUAUCUCCUCAUUCCCCGUGAUCAGCUCCAUUCUCUGCUGAAGUUCUCUCCUACUGCAGAUGAGACCAGAGUAAAACCCACAUGAGGUCCAUGUACCGCUAAUCACACAAUAAAUCAGAUGAGUUCAGACUUUCAGGAUGAAAGCUGAAGACGUCUCCCUCUGCUGCUGUUCCUGCAUCCGUCUUUAAGGCUCCAAGCCCACUUCCCUGCUGGUGGUUCUGCCCGUACGCUCUGUGUUCCCUCAUCAUGUUCAGGUUCCUCUAGUUGGGUCAACUAACCUCCUUCACUCUGCUGAAGACUAACAAAACUCAGUUUUUACCUGUUUUAUUUUCUAUGAUGAAAUGUGACUCUGCAUGCCGUGCUGGCGUUUAAAUGUUUAACUCUGAGGUUCUGGACUAGUCCAAAAAUAAAACCUAUUUCUAUUUAUGUAAACAUGAAGUAAUAUACUGAGGAAAAAUAAAGUCUUUUUCUGUAAGAACCGGGCUCCUGGUGGUUUGAAGAGCUUCAGUGGCUUCAUGAAGCAGAGCCGUGUGAGGAGACUCUGCAGGUGAUGAUCUGUGGAGCAGAACCAAGAGCCUUCAGACCAACAAACCACCUCCUGAUCAGCCCUCUGCCUCAGCUGGAGCUUGAGCUUCUGGCUCAUUGCUGGAGUUUUUUUUUUUUUUUUUUACCAAAAUCUGUCAUUUUUAUGACACAAAUGGCGCCCGAGAACCCUUUCUGGUGUGAUGAGCGGUGGCUCAGAGGAGUAAGAAGUGAGCUGUGGAGUCACAGGUUGCAGGUUCACCUCCUGGACUAGACCACUUUUACCUCCAUUUUCCCUCUAUUGAAAGCAAAAAGCAGCAAGAUGUCCUCUGGAGUUGAACCUGCAACCUUUAGAUAACAGUCAGCCAACCAGCAUGUCUUCUUACUCCCUGAGCUACUCGCUCAUCUACCAAAACAUCCACGUUUCUCGUAUUUGACUUAAAUUUCGGGGUGUUUCUGCAAAAAGAGGCGUCGACAUCCCAAAAAGGGGCGUCGACAUCCCAAACCUUCGUCUCCUCCUGGAAAACAGCCCAGCAGGUCCAACCAGAACUCUGAGCAGCUGGGUUCUGCUCCACAGCUUCUGCUCUGGCUUCACUUCAGAAGCCAGUUUCUCCUCAGAACAUGAAAAACUGUCUUUUUUAAUUUUUUUUUUAUUUCUGUCAGUCUGUCCUCACAUGCUGGAAAUGGUCUAUGUUUUAAAAUGAUCAGUUUAACUCUUAAAAUCUUUCCAACCAGUACUUUGAGUUUGAAGCCUGAGAAGGUCCAACACCGCCUGGAGCUCUGAUUCUGGUCCAGUUCAUGAAAUACAGAUAAAAUAGGUGGAUAUUUGCUAAAUAUUGAAGAGCUACUUACCUGGUGAGGAAACAGACGUGUUGAAGAGGAAUAAAAGUCCAAUUUAAAUCAAGUUGCAAUAGUUAUGCAUUUAAAAAAGGUAAACU